rnacentral:rRNA from 2 species
GGACCCGCACAAGCAGCGGAGCAUGUGGUUUAAUUCGAAGCAACGCGAAGAACCUUACCUAGACUUGACAUCCCUCGCAUAACUGUUAAUCCAGGAAGUUUCCCCUUCGGGGGAGACGAGGAGACAGGUGGUGCAUGGUUGUCGUCAGCUCGUGUCGUGAGAUGUUGGGUUAAGUCCCGCAACGAGCGCAACCCCUGUUGUUAGUUGCUACCAUUAAGUUGAGCACUCUAGCGAGACUGCCUGGGUUAACCAGGAGGAAGGUGGGGAUGACGUCAAAUCAUCAUGCCCCUUAUGUCUAGGGCUACACACGUGCUACAAUGGCGAGUACAGAGAGAAGCAAGACCGCGAGGUGGAGCAAAACUCAAAAACUCGUCCCAGUUCGGAUUGUAGGCUGAAACUCGCCUACAUGAAGUUGGAGUUGCUAGUAAUCGCGAAUCAGAAUGUCGCGGUGAAUACG